UACGUAGGUGGCAAGCGUUAUCCGGAUUUACUGGGUGUAAAGGGCGUGUAGGCGGGAUUGCAAGUCAGACGUGAAAACUAUGGGCUCAACCCAUAGCCUGCGUUUGAAACUGUGGUUCUUGAGUGCUGGAGAGGCAAUCGGAAUUCCGUGUGUAGCGGUGAAAUGCGUAGAUAUACGGAGGAACACCAGUGGCGAAGGCGGAUUGCUGGACGGUAACUGACGCUGAGGCUCGAAAGCGUGGGGAGCAAACAGG
rnacentral:rRNA from 1 species